rnacentral:rRNA from 1 species
AUUGAACGCUGGCGGCAGGCCUAACACAUGCAAGUCGAGCGAGCGGCGGACGGGUGCGUAAUGUAUGGGGAACUGCCCGAUAGAGGGGGAUAAAUACUGGAAACGGUGGCUAAUAACGCAUACUAUCGGAUGAACCCAUAUGGGAUUAGCUAGUAGGUGGGGUAAAGGCGCACCUAGGCGACGCUCCCUAGCUGGUCUGAGCGGAUGACCAGCCACAAUGGGACUGAGAAACGGCCCAGACUCCGACGUGAGGCAGCAGUGGGGAAUAGUGCACAAUGGGCGAAAGCCUGAUGCAGCCAUGCCGCGUGUAUGAAGAAGGCCUUAGGGUUGUAAAGUACUUUCAGCGGGGAGGCGUUACUCGCAGAAGAAGCACCGGCUAACUCCGUGCCAGCAGCCGCGGUAAUUC